rnacentral:rRNA from 1 species
CCUACGGGCGGCUGCAGUGGGGAAUAUUGGACAAUGGGCGAAAGCCUGAUCCAGCAAUGCCGCGUGAGUGAAGAAGGCCUUCGGGUUGUAAAGCUCUUUUACCCGGGAAGAUAAUGACUGUACCGGGAGAAUAAGCCCCGGCUAACUCCGUGCCAGCAGCCGCGGUAAUACGGAGGGGGCUAGCGUUGUUCGGAAUUACUGGGCGUAAAGCGUACGUAGGCGGCUUUCUAAGUCAGAGGUGAAAUCCCACGACUCAAUCGUGGAACUGCCUUUGAGACUGGAUCGCUUGAAGAUGGGAGAGGUAAGUGGAAUUCCGAGUGUAGAGGUGAAAUUCGUAGAUAUUCGGAAGAACACCAGUGGCGAAGGCGGCUUACUGGACCAUUCUUGACGCUGAGGUACGAAAGCGUGGGGAGCAAACAGGAUUAGAUACCCUAGUAGUC